rnacentral:rRNA from 1 species
CAAUAGCGUAUAUUAAAGCUGUUGCGGUUAAAAAGCUCGUAGUUGGAUUUCUGUAAAGGACAACUGGUCCGCCCCUCGGGUGAGCACAUAGUUUGGUCUUGGCAUCUUGUUGGAAACUGUUGCUGCACUUGGUUGUGUGGCGCAGUGUCCAGCACUUUCACUUUGAGGAAAUUGGAGUGUUUCAAGCAGGCACAUGCCUUUGGACACAGUAGCAUGGAAUAAUUAGAUUGGGCUUUUGCUCCAACUUGUCGGUUUCUGGAGCUGAGGUGAGAAUUAAUGGGGAUUGUUGGGGGCAUCCGAAUUUAGCCGUCAGAGGUGAAAUUCUUGGAUCUGCUAAAGACGGACAACUGCGAAAGCGUUUGCCCAGGAUGUUUUCAUUGA